rnacentral:misc_RNA from 1 species
AACGCAUAUUGCGCCCGAGGCUCUGCCAAGGGCUCGUCCGCUUGAGCGCCACAAACACCAGCCCCACCCCCCCCGGUUGUGCGGGGAAGGCUGCCAGACAGGACUAGACAAGGGGCUAAAAAUAAUCAAACUAGCCAAGGCCUGUCAUGGUUUCGUCUGGGUGGAACAUGUCCGUCGGUUGGAAACCGCCGUCGGGUUAAAUCCGGUGCCUAACGGGUGCAAGGACAAGAGCUUGGAUUCAACCCCAUCGCUUGUCCGGAACCCGUGAGGCUUCAUAUCGACAUGCAAGCUUGCACUUGCUUAACGCUGGCCUCAAGUCGGGCGAGACUACCCGCUGAAUUUAA